GCAGCCUGGACGCGUGCGCAGGCGUCAGGCGCAGAGACCUGCUAGCCCCUCAGCUAGUGGCCCCGCCCGCGCUUAGCAUCACUAACUGGGCUAUAUAACCUGAGCGCCCGCGCGGCCAGGACACGAGGAAUUCGCCCACGCAGGAGGCACGGCGUCCGGAGGCCCCAGGGUUAUGAGACUAUCACUGCUCAGGACCUACUAACAACAAAGAAAAUGUUUACCAAAUGCUGCUGCCUCAAUACCAGAGUCUGUAUUGUCAGUUGAUCUUUCAAGUAAAAAGUGGUGUUCUAUGAAAAACAGCUAGUUCAGCUGCAACUGAAAUGAUAUAAGUGUUUCUCCUGGAGCAAACCACCACUUCCAUUUGUAGCAGAAAUGCUGUGAUUCUAAGUAUGACUUGCUAUGUAAAGAAGAAUUUAUUGAACUCAAAGACAUAUUCUCUGUGAAACUGAAACGGCGUUGUUCUGUUAAACAGCAGAGAAGUGGUACUUUAUUAGGUAUCACACUCUUCAUCUGCUUGAAAAAGGAACAAAAUAAACUAAAGAAUUCUACACUUGAUCUUAUUAAUUUAAGUGAAGACCACUGUGACGUAUGGUU
rnacentral:sRNA from 1 species